AGUGAUUGACUGAGGUCAGUCCCGUCCGCUUGGCCCAAAGUGCCGCAGGCCAGUGUGGGGUGAAAGUGCUACAGGGCAACGUACGCAGCUUACAGGGGACAAAGGCACCUGCUAGCUGUCUAGUGAGCCACCUGCAGAUAUGUGUACGAGUGAGGCAGAUGGGAGGAAAGUGACAACAGCUCUCUUAAGAAGAGGGCCAGAGCUUUGUAACAUGGCCUCCUAGCUGCCAGGAUGUAUCUCUAAGGGAUCGUCCAGCUUGGCUGAUGUACACCAUUUCCAUGGGAUGGAAAGACCUGAACAGCUGAAAACAAAAUACAGGCAAACAAAACCAGAGAGUAGUGAGUGGGGAUACAAUGUAGCCAGGAUACUAAGGCUAUUUCCCCUCUCUGUUCAGGCAUUACAUUAGCUGUGCUCACCACCAUAGUAUCUGAGCCCCUAAUUACUCACUUGAGCUGAUCUAAGGUUUGUCCAUCACUUGAAGUCUUUCAAGACUGGCUGAGUGUCUAACAGAGAACUUAUGGGCUUGAUGCAGGAGUCCCUGAGUGAGGGUUUUCUGUCCUGUGUUGUGCAGAAGGUCACACUAGAUGAUUGUAAUGAUCCCUUCCGGCCUUGAAGCCUAGAGUAACUCCCCUUGCAGUUUAAACUGGAGAAGUUAUUUUUAGCCCCUCUCCUGUGUAAUGAGGCAGGUGCAAAACCGAUGCUGUGUUUUCACUGUUGAGAUGGCUCCUUUUUAGUGCUGGACAAGGUGAUGCCUUUAGCUACUGCUCAAGCAUGUAGGGGUCUGUCUCAUCCGAUGAAAGAUGCUUAAUGCUUGUACAUUUUCUGGGAUGCCCACAAAUCAGUGCAUGCUGUGCUACACCGAACGACCACUGUAUGUCAUCGCAGUUCCACACAGGGAGCCAAGCAAGCUUAUACCGAGUGGCAAAGUGUGUUUCCUUAGGAAGACAAAUGGAAUGGUUUCAAAUUCUGUAGCACUUCUUUACUGUCUAGUGGCUAAAGCACAGGACAGGGAAUCAGGAGGGCUGGCUGCUGUUCCCAGCUCUGCUAGUGAGUUGAUGUGUAUCCUCGGAUAAGUCACUUACACUGGUAUUUUCAGGAGCCUAAAGAAGCCGGGUAUCCAACUCCCACUGAAAGACAAGGGGUUCCUAACUCCCUUAAGGCCAUUGAAGGUCCCAGACUCGGUUUUCCCAUGUCAAAGGCAGUGAUAAUAUCUACCUUCUGGGGGUGCUUUAAGGAUUGAUUCAUUGAUUUGCAAAUUGUUUUGAGAUCUUUGCACGGAUGGUGUAAUAGGUGCUCGGGUACUACAGUGCUGUGCAGAAGAGAAAAUCCUAGAUAGAGGCACACAGAACUAUUGGAGCUCAAGAAAAUGAGCUGAUAAGCCGCUUUGCAAACCAAAAUGUGCCUGGCUCUCUCCCUCCGCUCUGCCCCAGGUGCUGCUGCUUUGCUACCAGAGGGUUGAACUUGCCCUCAGGGAAGCAUCUCCCAAAAAGCUGCCUGUGUGUUAACAAAAAGCU